UGAAGAGACCGUGCAGGUCUGU
rnacentral:miRNA from 1 species